UACGAGCGGCCCAAACGUUAUUCGGAAUUACUGGGCUUAAAGAGUUCGUAGGCGGCGCAGAAAGUAGGGUGUGAAAGCCCUCGGCUCAACCGAGGAAUUGCGCUCUAAACUACUGUGCUUGAGGAAUCUAGAGGUGAGCGGAACUGAUGGUGGAGCGGUGAAAUGCGUUGAUAUCAUCAGGAACACCGGAGGCGAGGGCGGCUCACUGGGGAUUUUCUGACGCUGAGGAACGAAAGCCAGGGGAGCGAACGGG
rnacentral:rRNA from 1 species